GCAGGCUGGUCUUGCACUUCUGGCCUCAAGCGAUUCUCCAACCUCAGCCUCCUAAAAUGCCAGGAUUAUAGGCAUGAGCCACCAAGCCUGACCCUCUUCUUUUGCUUUAUUUCCUGUUUCCUCCACAUGAAGCAGGCUCCAUGAAGGAAGGAACUGUCAGUUUAGUGCCCGCCACGUUCUCAGUUGCUCAAUUCAUCAACAAACCAGCAGGGCCCAAUUUAAAUUAGAGGUCAUUGUUAAUGAAAGAAGUAAUAGCAAAGAAGGUCUCCAGUGCUGAAAUGAUUUUCACAGGAUGGUUCUGUAUCUUCCCAGUAGCCAGGGAGCCCUUUGUCUGCCCACUGUUGCCUGGCACGCAGAGCCUGUCCGAACACUCAUGGCAAUGAAGAUGGCCCGAUUUGGAUCCUGGGUGGCCUUUCAGACAGUGCCCUGGCCCAGGUGAUCUUCUUUGGCUCAGCUGCUUGGCCUCCAGCCUCUAGUCCUCGCUUCAGCAUGUGGGAAGGUUCUGCUGGCUCCUUCAGGGCUCCUGGCAUUGCCUUUAGUCCAUGUGGGUCCCUGGGCGGACCUGGGUCAGAGCUGGCUGAGGGCAUAGGUUUGGGCUAUACUGAGGGCAGCUUCCAGGUCAGUAGUGCUUCCGGUGCCUUGGGCCACCACUCGUGAGCCCCACGCCUUGCCCCCCAUGUGGCUGCACACUGCCAGUGCCCAGGCCUCUGCUGUGAAGGUGGGCAUGGCACCCUAGGAACAGAAUCAGAAGAGGAAGCGAUGCAGAGUGGCCCUCCCUGCCAGCAUCCACUCA
rnacentral:lncRNA from 10 species